rnacentral:sRNA from 1 species
ACACAGGCCGGGCUGCGGAGCGCAGUCGCCCAGGUUUACGGCGGCAGCGGGCCGAGGCCCCCGGAGAGGACCGCGAUGAGUCCACUUCAGGUCGGGGCUGAGUGUGGGCGCGCGGUUCCCGGCGGCGUGUGACCCAGUCUCCGCUAGCCGCUGCCCUCUGCGUGUUACGAGACAGCCCUUGACGGUGAAAAGAGCAGCGGCCUGCAGCAGCUGGCCUACCACACUGUGAAUCGUCGCUAUCGGGAGUUCUUGAAUCUGCAGACCCGUCUGGAGGAGAAACCAGAUCUACGAAAGUUCAUCAAAAAUGUGAAGGGUCCUAAAAAGCUCUUUCCAGAUCUUCCAUUUGGAAACAUGGACAGUGACAGAGUAGAAGCCCGUAAGAGCCUCCUAGAAUCAUUCCUAAAGCAACUCUGUGCCAUUCCGGAGAUCGCUAACAGUGAGGAGGUGCAGGAGUUCCUUGCUCUGAACACAGAUGCUCGUAUUGCCUUUGUCAAGAAACCAUUUAUGGUAUCUAGAAUAGACAAGGUCCAGGCUGAGGUUCUCAUCCAGUAAAAUUUCUCCAGCACUAAGUGUGACUGAAGCACAAGACAAGAUUCUUUAUUGUCUCCAGGAAGGCAAUGUGGAGUCUGAGACUCUAUCCAUGUCUGGGAUGGAAUCUUUUAUUGAAAAACAGACAAAGUUACUGGAAAUGCAGCCAACAAAAGCCCCAGGAAAAGAUCCUGAACAACCUCCCAAAGGACGUGUGGACAGUUGCGUGUCAGAUGCAGCUGUGCCAGCCCAAGACCCCGGCAACAGCGAUCCAGGAACAGAGACAGAGUUAGCUGACACAGCCCUGGAUCUGCUCCUCUUGCUACUAACAGAGCAGUGGAAAUGGCUGUGUACCGAAAACAUGCAGAAGUUUCUUCGUCUUAUCUUUGGGACCCUAGUUCAAAGGUGGCUAGAGGUGCAGGUAGCUAAUUUAACAAGUCCACAGCGCUGGGUGCAGUACCUCCGGCUUCUUCAGGAAUCCAUCUGGCCUGGUGGAGUUUUGCCUAAGUUUCCACGGCCCGUAAGGACCCAAGAGCAGAAACUGGCUGCUGAGAAACAGGCUUUGCAGAGCCUGAUGGGAGUCCUCCCGGAUCUCAUAGUAGAAAUUCUUAGGGUGAACAAAUGCCAGCUGAGCUGGGGUCUAGUCUUGGAGUCACUACAACAACCCCUCAUCAACAGGCAUUUGAUUUACUGCCUCGGGGACAUCAUCCUGGAAUUCUUGGAUCUCAGUGCCUCUGUUGAGGAGUCUGCUGCUACCACCUCUGCCUCAGAUACCCCAGGCAACUCUAAGAGGAUGGGUGUCUCCUCUUAGCUGGUUAUUCACGCCUUCUUCCCAGGUCAGGGAAGUAGAGUUACUCGGCCACCAGAGACCAGUCAGGAAGCCCGCGCCCUCUUGAAGUAGGCUACAGCUAAGAAGGCCUAGGUUCUCAGUAGCUCACUUCUCUCCCACUUCUGCUCCAUUUGUAGCAGGUGACGGGGGUCUGUGUGUCCCAGUUGCAUGCACAUUUAUUUCCGUGUUCCUUUUGUGAUGUUGGGAU